rnacentral:rRNA from 1 species
CUGCGAAAUACGUGGCAGCAGCGGGGGUAAAACGGGGGUGGGUAUGCGUAGCCGGAAUGACUUUGGGUAAAGGGUGCGUGGGUGGUUUCUUAGGUCAGAGGGGAAAGGCUACGGCUCAACCGUAGUAAGCCUUUGAAACUGGGGAACUUGAGUGCAGGAGAGGAGAGUGGAAUUCCUAGUGUAGCGGUGAAAUGCGUAGAUAUUAGGAGGAACACCAGUUGCGAAGGCGGCUCUCUGGACUGUAACUGACACUGAGGCACGAAAGCGUGGGGAGCAAACAGGAUUAGAUACCCCAGUAGUC